rnacentral:sRNA from 1 species
AUCUGGUUGCAACAUCUGUCACCCCAUUGACACCAGGGUUGAUUCAGCUCAUCCGGCUGGUUAGACAGGUGUUGCCUU